rnacentral:tRNA from 1 species
GGGGUCGUAGUUAAAAUAUUAUAACACUUAAUUUGCAAUUAAAAAUUAUUAAAAUAAUUAAUCUACCUCA